GGUUUGAUCCCGGCUCAGAUUGAAACGCUUUAUGGGAUGCUUUACAAAGAUGCAAGUCGAAUGGCAGCACGGACUUCGGUCUGCGGGCGAGUGGCGGAACGGCGAGUAAUGUAUCGGAACGUCAUAUAGCGGUGAUGGAACCGCCGCGAGUGAAAUAAUACCGCAUAAUGCCCUUCGGGGAAAGCGGGGGACCCUUCGGGCCUCGCACUAAUAGAGCGGCCGAUAUCGGAUUAGCUAGUUGGUGGGGUAACGGCUCACCACAGACGAUCCGUAGCUGGUUUGAGAGGACGACCAGCCACACUGGGAUUCUGAGACACGGCCCAGACUCCUACGGGAGGCAGCAGUGGGGAAUUUUGACAAUGGGGGAAAUCUGACCUGCUUGGUCCUGGCGUGUGCGAUGAAGGCCUUCGGGUUGUAAAGCACUUUGCAGAAAGAAACGGUACGGGAUAAUACCCCGUGCAACUGACGGUACCUGAACAGAAUAAGCACUGGCUAACUACGUGCCAGCAGCCGCGGUAAUACGUAGGGUGCAAGCGUUAAUCGAAUUACUGGGCGUAAAGCGUGCGCAGGCGGUUCGGAAAGAAAGAUGAAAUCCCAGAGCUUAACUUUGGAACUGCAUUUUAACUAAUGAGCUAGAGUGUGUCAGAGGGAGGUGGAAUUCGCGUGUGGCAGUGAAAUGCGUAGAUAUGCGGAGGAACACCGAUGGCGAAGGCAGCCUCUGGGAUAACACUGACGCUCGCACGAAAGCGUGGGGAGCAAACAGAUUAUUAUCUUGGUAGUCCACGCCCUAAACGAUGUCAACUAGCUGUUGGGGCUUCUCGGCCUUGGUAGCGCAGCUAACGCGCGGUUGACCGCCUGGGGAGUACGGUCGCAAGAUUAAAACUCAAAGGAAUUGACGGGGACCCGCACAAGCGGUGGAUGAUGUGGAUUAAUUUGAUGCAACGCGAAAAACCUUACCUACCCUUGACAUGUCUGGAAUCCCGAAGAGAUUUGGGAGUGCCUGCAAGAGAACCGGAACACAGGUGCCGCAUGGCCAUGUCGUCAGCUCGUGUCGAGAUGUUGGGUUAAGUCCCGCAACGAGCGCAACCCUUGUCAUUAGUUGCUACGAAAGGGCACCUCCCCAUCGACUGCCGGCAGUGGACAACCGGAGGAAGGUGGGGAUGACGUCAAGUCCUCAUGGCCCUUAUGGGUAGGGCUUCACACGUCAUACGGAAUGGUCGGGACAGAGGGUCGCCAACCCGCGAGGGGGAGCCAAUCCAGAAACCCGAUCGGGACCGGAUCGCAGUCUGCAACUCGACUGCGUGAAGUCGGAAUCGCUAGUAAUCGCGAUCAGCAUGUCGCGGUGAAUACGUUCCCGGGUCUUGUACACACCGCCCGUCACACCAUGGAGUGGGUUUCACUGAGAAGUGAAGUAGGCCUAACCGUAAGGAUAUGAUUAUCACGGUAGAUUCAUGAUCAGGUGAAGUCGUAACAAGGUAA
rnacentral:rRNA from 1 species